rnacentral:lncRNA from 1 species
UGUAAUUUUAUAUUGUUUGUUUAAGCUGUUUUGUAUUGAUUUGUUUAUUGUUUGUUAUUUAUUUUAGACUGCGGUAAGUCUUUUACAGAAAAUGUAAUAGAAAGGCUAAAAUGAUCUCAAAUAGCUAAACAUGAGCGUUUACAAAAAUGGUCAAAUCAAGAAACUGUGAGUGUUAAAAAAGAAUGUGUUACAGUUGAAAAAGAAGA